UUCGUUUUCUUCGUUUCUUUCGACAGAGCUUCCGUUUGGUGUGCUUGUCUUCUUUUCGGCGGUCUGAGGCGAGUCUCUCGGCGGUGGAGUGUGGCGUAUAUUUCGGUGGUGGGCGGCGACGAUCUAGGCGGUUCGGUCAGGUGUCGGAGGCGGCAAGUCCAGUGAUAGAUCUCAAAAUAAGAGCACGGAAAACAGUAUCCUCUAAGUAAUACAAUGGGUGUAUCUCCCAGCUUGCAGGGGGUGUUUUAUACCAAGAACACUAAAUCGUAAUUACCUCACAUCAUUAUCAUCAUCAUCAAGAAAGCCGAUAAAGCAUCCAGUAAAAUUCAGAAGGAGCUGAACAAGCAGCGACUAUAUACAGUGAGCAAUAUGUACUAAGGUUAAUUACAUGAUUCACAAACUCAUAAUUUGUAGUCAUGUAUGCGGUUAUGUUGUGCCCUGAUUGUAUAUAUUGUGUGCCCUGCUUUUUAGUUACUGGAUGCCCAGCUUUGAUAAAUUGUAAUCGGUAGUUUUUAAGAACCUGUCAUUUUGGUACAAUGCAUUUUUUUUACUUGAUUGAGGGGUUAGUUGUACUGUUUUCUUUCAUAAUAAAUAGAUUGAUUUAUAAAUUAAAA